AACAGUAAAGGGAAGAGAAAAAGC
rnacentral:sRNA from 1 species